GACGAACCGUGCGAACGUUGUUCGGAAUCACUGGGCUUAAAGGGCGCGUAGGCGGGCUGCCAAGUCUGGGGUGAAAUCCUCCCGCUCAACGGGAGGACGGCCCCGGGUACUGGCGGCCUCGAGGCGGGUAGGGGCGUGCGGAACACUGGGUGGAGCGGUGAAAUGCGUUGAUAUCCAGUGGAACUCCGGUGGCGAAGGCGGCACGCUGGACCCGAUCUGACGCUGAGGCGCGAAAGCCAGGGGAGCGAACGGG
rnacentral:rRNA from 1 species